rnacentral:rRNA from 1 species
UACGAAGGGGGCUAGCGUUGCUCGGAAUCACUGGGCGUAAAGCGCACGUAGGCGGAUUGUUAAGUCAGGGGUGAAAUCCUGGAGCUCAACUCCAGAACUGCCUUUGAUACUGGCAAUCUCGAGUCCGGGAGAGGUGAGUGGAACUCCGAGUGUAGAGGUGAAAUUCGUAGAUAUUCGGAAGAACACCAGUGGCGAAGGCGAGUCCCUGGACACACCUGACACUGAGGCACGAAAGCUAGGGGAGCAAACAGG